GGAGUCUUCUCCAGGGUCCUCAGCAUUGAUUUCUCACCCCAGAACUCUCCACGCUUGGUCCCGAGGCAUCUAUGUAGCUAAGAGAAAGUGUUUGGUCCGGUGUCCCAAAAAUCAAACCUAUUCAAGGUCCUACUUUUAUUCCCUUGGAGAUCCUGGCAUCAUGUCUACAAGCAUGACACAUGCUCAUGGGAAUGAGCAACAGAAAACGGCCGAUUUUACAGAGAUGAGUUUGGUACUACGAAAAUGGAUGAGACUUGAGACGGAAAAAUCCUGGAGAAAGGCAACUUCAUAAAAGCCUCUCAACUUUGUAUCUACCAGCUUCAGAUUUCAAAAAAGUAACGGCAUGAAGUUUGCAUCUAAGCCAGAACGAAAUAUCUGGUAUGCCCAUCCUCCACAGACAUCUCUACCGGUAGAAGAUCAACUUCAAGCCCUUAUUAAGCCUUUCCAGGGAUCACACUACCUUUUCUGUCCCUUAACCUGUUCUUAUGUUGUCAUCAGCUAGUUAUGCCACCUGGGGAGGGAAAGUGGGAAGACCACUAUGAGGUUAUUAUGUCAAUGUGAGA